AAAAAGACUUUGUACUGGAAUGGAUGAGAAAAAUAAUAGUAAUGAUAAUAAUAGGUCACUCUGAAAGUACUGCCUCUUAUUUCUGUGGAAACUGUAAACAUAUAAAGAGCACAACAUUCUAUGGAGCAAAUUCUCAGUUACAGAAUGCUAUUUUUUUAUUUUCAACACAAUCAAAAUCAUUGACUUUUUUUUUUUUUGCCUGCAAAAGCUUCCAGGCUGUGCUUGUAAAAGAAGCAAAACAAACAAAAAAACACCUUAGAGCACCUCGCAGAGGUGACCCAUAAUCACUACUGCUGAGCUGCUCAACCUGCCACCUCGUUGUGCUCGCAUCCACUGUUUGGUUUCAGUAAAUGUUCAGCAGUUAUCUGAAAUUGGAUAUGACCUUUAUUCUGCAAUUACACACCUUUCCUCAUGUGCACCUUCUGUCAGUUUUGUCAGACUGUUUCUCUCCUGCAAUUUGUCUCAUGGCAAUAAAAUAUAAUUGAGUUCUGGUGGGAAGGUUCAUCCCCUACUGCCAUACCACUAUCAUCUGCCUGUGACGUUUUGGACAUGCAUAAUAAAGUAGGAGGCAUUACUUUCAGAGCAGCCAUUAUAUGUAUUUACAAAACAAGUGGUGCAUAAUAAAAUUGUUCAUCCCACCAACCAAUGCUCAGCCAGUCCCUGAGUAACAGCUGACCCCUACAGCCUUGACCAGUUUAGGUCAGCAGUUCUACUUUUGUCUCCUCCCAGCUCAUUGUACCGCCUUAGCCUCCCUUGCUGGCAGGACAGUAUGAGAAGCUGAAAAACUGGAAUGUCCUAACUCUCUGCAGCGCUGUUAAUCAACAACUACAACAUUCGUGUGUUACCAACAUUGCAUCAUACCAUUAUGAAGAAAGUAACAGUCCCAGCCAAAACCAGGUCAGCUUGCUAACAAGUGAACUGUGCAUAAGUUUUAGAUGUGUGCGUUCAUCAGUACCUUAAAAAAUGAGAAAUAAUGUUCAAAUAAUUAGAAGAUUAGAACUGAGCUUAAAACAUGUCAGACAACAGUGAACCAACCAAUGCUGAAAAGAAUUUUUGAACGGAAAAUUUGAUAUGACCUACAGCACAGGGAUAUGGCAAAUUUCAUCCCAAAAUGCCUGGACUUCUGACUAGUAAUCCCAGCUGACUGCUGUUUGUAUAGUAAAAGGCCAGUUCUGCAAUGCCUGCCAGAUUGUUUGUGUUAGAGGGAGCCUCAGCAACACUUCUAUAGCCAAGUCAGGUCAACACUUCUGUCUGAAAAGAGAAGCAGAUCUUAGCAGCCUGAGGAUGCAAAAUCAAGUAAUGGCCAUUUCUACAGACAUGAAGAUCUCUGCCCUGCCUCCCCCAGACAUGUGUAUUAUGCCAGGAGAACUAGCGGAGAGAUGUAAGGAGUUGCAGAGGGAUAAAAGCCAUAGGAGGAGGAGAGAAGAUGUGAGCAGAAUGAGGAAUGAGCUAAUCAGCUAACAAAACAAAGGACUGGACAACUGACAAUACAUUUCUAAAAUGACUGAAAUACGACAAAAAUUUGAAACUUAAAAGAACAAUUAGAAUUUUCCUUAUAUCCUUCCACAUUGUACACCCUGCUUCUGUGGGCAAGAGUGAUAAUUCUGUGUUCACCACUAGAGGGAUGAUUUUAUACAGAACUAUCAUCAUUAUUAAAUCUUGAAUCCAUGUUUAUUUAAUACCCUGGAUUGUAUGUGCACAUGUCAUAGUUUGUGAAGAACUAUUUGUUUCCCCUCUUCCAUUCUAACUGAGAAUAUUAUUGAGGUAACCAAAAAACAACAAACAAACAGUAAAAUUCAGACAUAUUUCAGACCUACUUCAGAAUGCAGUGAUUACAUUUUAUUUCACUUUUUAAAAACAUUUUUGAAUUUGGAUUCCAAAGAAAAAUCAGUGUCAGUAAGGAGGUCUGACAUAAGUUUUCUAAGAAGAACUGAAUCUGUAGACUUUGCAACAACAGCAGUGAAUGAACACCAUUCUAAUUUAGAAAGAAUAAAAUGAUGGUCAUACAGAAGUAUUCCAAAAGGAAUUAUUUGAAAUAGAAUGAAAGCAUUUUCUUCUAUUAAAACAAAUAGCUCAUUCAUGUAUGAUGAAAGAGUGCUCUUAUUUUACUUGAAAAGAAAAAAAUAAGGCUGAAAGUAAAUUGUGAGGUAAGAUAAUGCUGAAUUUAGUUAGUUUAAUAUUUACUUCGUAGACUGAAGACUUCAGAAGUCAACAGAUUUCUUGCUUCUCUGUGGAGAGAUUUAGAUUUCCUUAGUUCUCUACAUCCUUUGAAUUCUACUCUGAAGCAGAUGUAUACAUUUUAUUUUGGCUGCCAGCCAUAGUAAAACAUGAAAUAGAUAUAUAACUUAUAUGAUUCUUUAAUAAAUCUGUUUCCUUUAUUAUCAGAAAAUAUCCUCCCCUAACCCCAGCUUUAGGUCUAGGAAGUGGGAAUUAAAUUUUGUGUAGGAAAUCACUGGGUUCUGUCCUUUGAUGGUAAAGAGCCAUGUUCAGACUGGAAAGCAAGCUAGCCUGCUGCCUUUGAGCCAGUGGGGACAGAUUAUUACCAAAAUGUUUUUCCCACUUUUAAUCUUACAGAUCAUGCUUUAAAUCCUACCUGUGCUCUAUUGUAAAGUGGGCUGAAUGUUCUGCCGUUAGCACAGUUUCUACUGACUUCUAAACAGUCAAUUGUACAAGUCCACAUCAAACAUGCUGUCUGGUAAUAGUGCUAGUAUUGCUAACAGUGUUUUCUGGGUUGUAACUAGUGAGAAGUUCAGUAGAAACAAUAAGGAACCUGUUUUCAGUAAAAAGGGUAUAUUUGCUAAAUUAAGGAAAAAUUCAUGAAGGAAGGAUACGCAAGAAGUGAUAUUUCAUUAUAGAUUUCUCCAAAUGAGCAGAUACAAUCUUUGUGCCUCCUUUAAGGACAUAAAUGUAGAACAGUCCUGCUUGGAAGUUUCAUUUAGGUCUUCUUUUUUAUUGUACUUCCCCAGCUUUUCCUUGGAUAAGAUUUGUUUUGCUUUGUUUUGUAUUUAAUUGCCUGUAGCAUUGUGUAUUAUUUCAAUACCAUAGUUCUGAUAUGCUUUAGUGAUACACGACUAAACUCUGGUGAGGUGAAGUGAUUUAUUACUUUUUCUUUUAAUUGGGUUUUUGUUUGCACAUCUAACAAGGCCUUGUUAAUGGUAAUUGAAUAAACAGAGAAAAUGUUUGGACAGUGCUCUAAUGCUGUAAACAGUCUAUCAUUUUCUUAUGAGAAACUACCUCCUUGAACAUUGAGAGCUUUCUUUUAGUUACUAAAAGCCUUAAAGGAAAUGCAGAUGAAGGUACUGUGUGUUAUACGACUCUUGUUUCCACAGAGCUUUCAUUUAUUUUAGUACUCAUUAAUAUAGUACUCAUUAAUAUAAUGUUACCUAAAACAAGGCCUCAUAGAACUUAACCUUUUGAAAUCUUGUUGUAUACUUAACAAUGAAAAAUGCAGUAAGAGCAGCAUGAUUUGAAAUAAAUAUAUUUUA